rnacentral:rRNA from 1 species
AACGAACGCUGGCGGCAUGCCUAACACAUGCAAGUCGAACGAGACCUUCGGGUCUAGCGGCGGACGGGUGAGUAACGCGUGGGAACGUGCCCUUUGGUACGGAAUAGCCCCGGGAAACUGGGAGUAAUACCGUAUAAGCUCUUCGGAGGAAAGAUUUAUCGCCAAAGGAUCGGCCCGCGUUGGAUUAGGUAGUUGGUGGGGGUAAUGGCCUACCAAGCCGACGAUCCAUAGCUGGUUUGAGAGGAUGAUCCAGCCACACUGGGACUGAGACACGGCCCAGACUCCUACGGGAGGCAGCAGUGGGGAAUCUUAGACAAUGGGCGCAAGCCUGAUCUAGCCAUGCCGCGUGAGCGAUGAAGGCCUUAGGGUGUAAAGCUCUUUCAGUGGGGAAGAUAAUGACUGUACCCACAGAAGAAGCCCCGGCUAACUCCGUG